UACGUAGGGGGCUAGCGUUGUCCGGAUUUAUUGGGCGUAAAGAGCGUGUAGGCGGCUAGACAAGUCUGCUGUGAAAACUCGAGGCUCAACCUCGAGCUGUCGGCGGAAACUGUCUGGCUAGAGUGCGGAAGAGGCGAGUGGAAUUCCUGGUGUAGCGGUGAAAUGCGCAGAUAUCAGGAGGAACACCAAUUGCGAAGGCAGCUCGCUGGGACGUAACUGACGCUGAGACGCGAAAGCGUGGGGAGCAAACAGG
rnacentral:rRNA from 1 species